rnacentral:rRNA from 1 species
AUUGAACGCUAGCGGGAUGCUUUACACAUGCCAGUCGAACGGCAGCGCGGACUUCGGUCUGGCGGCGAGUGGCGAACGGGUGAGUAAUGUAUCGGAACGUGCCCAGUAGCGGGGGAUAACUACGCGAAAGCGUAGCUAAUACCGCAUACGCCCUACGGGGGAAAGCAGGGGAUCGUAAGACCUUGCACUAUUGGAGCGGCCGAUAUCGGAUUAGCUAGUUGGUGAGGUAACGGCUCACCAAGGCGACGAUCCGUAGCUGGUUUGAGAGGACGACCAGCCACACUGGGACUGAGACACGGCCCAGACUCCUACGGGAGGCAGCAGUGGGGAAUUUUGGACAAUGGGGGCAACCCUGAUCCAGCCAUCCCGCGUGUGCGAUGAAGGCCUUCGGGUUGUAAAGCACUUUUGGCAGGAAAGAAACGUCGCGGGCUAAUACCCCGUGGAACUGACGGUACCUGCAGAAUAAGCACCGGCUAACUACGU